AUGAAGUCGGAAUUGCUAGUAAUCGCGGAUCAGCAUGCCGCGGUGAAUACGUUCUCGGGCCUUGUACACACCGCCCGUCACACCAUGGGAGUCGGUAACACCCGAAGUCUGUAGCCUGACGCAAGAGGGCGCAGCCGAAGGUGGGAUUGAUGACUGGGGUGAAGUCGUAACAAGGUAGC
rnacentral:rRNA from 1 species